GAAAAAUAAAACCCAAGCCUGACACAAGCUGUUUUGUACAAAAUGCUGCGUUAGUUGCACAGCCCCCUGGGAGGUGAAUGAAACUCCACACACCUUGUUGCUGCUUUAUUUUGUUCUAGAGCCCAUUUGCUACAGUCCUUUACCUUGUUUCCAAAGUAAAGAAAUCUGCAUCUUGAGUUCAGAUCUUAUCCUCCUUGGAUAAGAAAAGAAAAAAAUGUGAUCUUGGCACCAUCUGACAGAAAGAUGAAUACAAUGGGACAAAUAAGAUACUUUCAUGGGAAGUUGGCAGCAUUUAACUAAUGUUUAAACUUUGUGGUUCUCUAAGCCAUGGACAGAGCUGAAGUUAAUGAAGAUCUGUGGAGGAAAGACUUCUGCAGGUCUGCACAUAGAACACUGUGACUCUUUGUUCAGAGGCAAUGGUGACAAAGGACAGAAGUAUCGAAUGGAAAGAAGGGGAAGAAGCAGGAGCAUCCAGAGAAAUGAAGCUUUGAAAUUUGGAAGGUGAGUUCUGACAUCCAGCCCCAAGUGUUAGUCCCCACCUCUCUGGCCACGAGAACCCACUUCCACAGAUUCUGAGGGGAUCUGUGGCACGACUUCUCCCUUGAGAAACUAACUCCAAGGGAGGCUUCUGGGAAUGUGAGCAGAACCCAGAUACUUCCCAGAUUCCCUGUGUAGAAUGAAGCUGUCCAAAACGGCAUGCAGGUUGCUUUGGACCAAUAGGGCCUGGAUUGGGAGGUGAGCCCUCCAGUACACGUAGGACACCUGGUUUUACUUUGCUCAGAUUCAACUGCAGCGUGGUGCCUGCCCAUUCUCCCCACAGGCAGGCUGUGAGGGCAUCAGGGGUAACG
ensembl:lncRNA